rnacentral:rRNA from 1 species
CAAGGUGCUGCAUGGUUGUCGUCAGCUCGUGCCGUGAGGUGUCCGGGUUAAGUCCCAUAACGAGCGCAACCCUUAUCGUUAGUUGCCAUCUGGUAAAGCAGGGGACUCUAGCGAAACUGCCACCGUAAGGUGAGAGGAAGGUGGGGAUGACGUCAAAUCAGCACGGCCCUUAUGUCCAGGGCUACACACGUGUUACAAUGGUCGGUACAGAGGGCAGCUACCUGGUGACAGGAUGCUAAUCUCGAAAACCGGCCUCAGUUCGGAUCGAAGUCUGCAACUCGACUUCGUGAAGCUGGAUUCGCUAGUAAUCGCGCAUCAGCCAUGGCGCGGUGAAUACGUUCCCGGGCCUU